GGGGAGGAGCCCAGAGCCUGAAUCAGUGUGUGUGUUAGUGGAAGCGUCUGGAAAGGCGCGCGAUACAGGGUGACAGCCCCGUACACAAAAAUACACAUAUUGUGAGCUCGAUGAGUAGGGCGGGACACGUGGUAUCCUGUCUGAAUAUGGGGGGACCAUCCUCCAAGGCUAAAUACUCCUGACUGACCGAUAGUGAACCAGUACCGUGAGGGAAAGGCGAAAAGAACCCCGGCGAGGGGAGUGAAAAAGAACCUGAAACCGUGUACGUACAAGCAGUGGGAGCACGCUUAGGCGUGUGACUGCGUACCUUUUGUAUAAUGGGUCAGCGACUUAUAUUCUGUAGCAAGGUUAACCGAAUAGGGGAGCCGAAGGGAAACCGAGUCUUAACUGGGCGUUAAGUUGCAGGGUAUAGACCCGAAACCCGGUGAUCUAGCCAUGGGCAGGUUGAAGGUUGGGUAACACUAACUGGAGGACCGAACCGACUAAUGUUGAAAAAUUAGCGGAUGACUUGUGGCUGGGGGUGAAAGGCCAAUCAAACCGGGAGAUAGCUGGUUCUCCCCGAAAGCUAUUUAGGUAGCGCCUCGUGAAUUCAUCUCCGGGGGUAGAGCACUGUUUCGGCAAGGGGGUCAUCCCGACUUACCAACCCGAUGCAAACUGCGAAUACCGGAGAAUGUUAUCACGGGAGACACACGGCGGGUGCUAACGUCCGUCGUGAAGAGGGAAACAACCCAGACCGCCAGCUAAGGUCCCAAAGUCAUGGUUAAGUGGGAAACGAUGUGGGAAGGCCCAGACAGCCAGGAUGUUGGCUUAGAAGCAGCCAUCAUUUAAAGAAAGCGUAAUAGCUCACUGGUCGAGUCGGCCUGCGCGGAAGAUGUAACGGGGCUAAACCAUGCACCGAAGCUGCGGCAGCGACGCUUAUGCGUUGUUGGGUAGGGGAGCGUUCUGUAAGCCUGCGAAGGUGUGCUGUGAGGCAUGCUGGAGGUAUCAGAAGUGCGAAUGCUGACAUAAGUAACGAUAAAGCGGGUGAAAAGCCCGCUCGCCGGAAGACCAAGGGUUCCUGUCCAACGUUAAUCGGGGCAGGGUGAGUCGACCCCUAAGGCGAGGCCGAAAGGCGUAGUCGAUGGGAAACAGGUUAAUAUUCCUGUACUUGGUGUUACUGCGAAGGGGGGACGGAGAAGGCUAUGUUGGCCGGGCGACGGUUGUCCCGGUUUAAGCGUGUAGGCUGGUUUUCCAGGCAAAUCCGGAAAAUCAAGGCUGAGGCGUGAUGACGAGGCACUACGGUGCUGAAGCAACAAAUGCCCUGCUUCCAGGAAAAGCCUCUAAGCAUCAGGUAACAUCAAAUCGUACCCCAAACCGACACAGGUGGUCAGGUAGAGAAUACCAAGGCGCUUGAGAGAACUCGGGUGAAGGAACUAGGCAAAAUGGUGCCGUAACUUCGGGAGAAGGCACGCUGAUAUGUAGGUGAAGUCCCUUGCGGAUGGAGCUGAAAUCAGUCGAAGAUACCAGCUGGCUGCAACUGUUUAUUAAAAACACAGCACUGUGCAAACACGAAAGUGGACGUAUACGGUGUGACGCCUGCCCGGUGCCGGAAGGUUAAUUGAUGGGGUCAGCGCAAGCGAAGCUCUUGAUCGAAGCCCCGGUAAACGGCGGCCGUAACUAUAACGGUCCUAAGGUAGCGAAAUUCCUUGUCGGGUAAGUUCCGACCUGCACGAAUGGCGUAAUGAUGGCCAGGCUGUCUCCACCCGAGACUCAGUGAAAUUGAACUCGCUGUGAAGAUGCAGUGUACCCGCGGCAAGACGGAAAGACCCCGUGAACCUUUACUAUAGCUUGACACUGAACAUUGAGCCUUGAUGUGUAGGAUAGGUGGGAGGCUUUGAAGUGUGGACGCCAGUCUGCAUGGAGCCGGCCUUGAAAUACCACCCUUUAAUGUUUGAUGUUCUAACGUGGACCCGUGAUCCGGGUUGCGGACAGUGUCUGGUGGGUAGUUUGACUGGGGCGGUCUCCUCCUAAAGAGUAACGGAGGAGCACGAAGGUUGGCUAAUCCUGGUCGGACAUCAGGAGGUUAGUGCAAUGGCAUAAGCCAGCUUGACUGCGAGCGUGACGGCGCGAGCAGGUGCGAAAGCAGGUCAUAGUGAUCCGGUGGUUCUGAAUGGAAGGGCCAUCGCUCAACGGAUAAAAGGUACUCCGGGGAUAACAGGCUGAUACCGCCCAAGAGUUCAUAUCGACGGCGGUGUUUGGCACCUCGAUGUCGGCUCAUCACAUCCUGGGGCUGAAGUAGGUCCCAAGGGUAUGGCUGUUCGCCAUUUAAAGUGGUACGCGAGCUGGGUUUAGAACGUCGUGAGACAGUUCGGUCCCUAUCUGCCGUGGGCGCUGGAGAACUGAGGGGGGCUGCUCCUAGUACGAGAGGACCGGAGUGGACGCAUCACUGGUGUUCGGGUUGUCAUGCCAAUGGCACUGCCCGGUAGCUAAAUGCGGAAGAGAUAAGUGCUGAAAGCAUCUAAGCACGAAACUUGCCCCGAGAUGAGUUCUCCCUGACCCUUUAAGGGUCCUGAAGGAACGUUGAAGACGACGACGUUGAUAGGCCGGGUGUGUAAGCGCAGCGAUGCGUUGAGCUAACCGGUACUAAUGAAC
rnacentral:rRNA from 1 species